AUAUAUAAAUAAUUCACACAUGCAUAUACGCCUUAAGGUUAGUUGGAAGUGGAAGAGUCAGCGUUCAGCCAUUGCAAAUUGCAACUCUGUUCCAAAGACGCGUUGUGCGCGAAUGAUUUAUUCCACUUAAUUAUUUAAUUAAUAGAAUUAUUAUUUUUUCGUUUGAUAUCGUUAGAACCAUCUAACAAAACAGUGAUAAUCAUGAGCGAUCGACCAAGUAAUGGUGAAUUUAAGUAUAAAAGAGAAGAAAAUUCUGAUUCGGAGGCAAAAACAUCGUCGGAAAAGGAACGUGAUGAAAAGAAGUAUCAAGUUGACAAAGCCGGAGAAUAUGUUCGAGAACUUUUACAAGAAAAAGUUGAAUUGGAUUCGCAAAAAUGGCCUAAUGCAACAAGACUAAUUGAUCAAGAAAUUCAGAAAACUCAAGCUAUUGGCAAACCAGUAAGAGAUCCGAAAUAUGUGGAUAUUUAUCGUGAAAAACCAAUUCGAGUUUCGGUUAAAGUAUUGGUGCCUGUUCGAGAACAUCCAAAGUUUAAUUUUGUUGGAAAAUUAUUGGGACCGAAAGGUAAUUCUAUGAAACGUUUACAAGAAGAAACAAUGUGUAAAAUGGCAGUAUUAGGAAGAGGAUCCAUGAAAGAUCGUCAAAAAGAAGAAGAAUAUCGUAUGUCUCUGGAUCCGAAAUAUGCUCAUCUUUCGGAUGAUUUACAUGUUGAAAUAACAGCGCUUGCACCUCCGGCAGAAGCUUAUGCUCGUAUUGCAUUUGCGUUAGCCGAAGUUCGGAAAUAUUUGAUCCCAGAUAAUAAUGACAAUAUACGUCAAGAACAAAUGCGCGAAAUGGAAAUGAGUAUGGCAGAUGAUCCAACGAGUAAUGACGAUAGAAGACCUUCUGUCAGAGGUGUACCAGGUGCUGGUGGAAUAUUAAGACCAUCCGCAAGGCCAACAAUGCAACGAUCUUCGCGAGCGGCAAUACUUCCACCGCCUUCUAGUCGGGGACCAAUUACACGUCCUGUAUCAGCAAAAAGUAAAGUUUUUUCUAUUUUAGAUCGUGCAAGAGUCGCCAUGGAUCAGAGUUAUGGCUAUGAAACUGCUACUCCACCUCCAAGUAAUCGUGUUGGAACUCAUCAUGAUUAUGAUUACCACACAUCAACAAGCAGUAGUAGCCGAUAUGGAGACCGACAUUAUACAUCAACAUCAGGAGAUGAUAUGUAUCCUUCCUCGAGGUACGCAACUUACGAAUACGAAGAUGAUACUGUGCCACACUCUUCUCACAAUUACUAUGAAACAUCAGAAUAUCCAGGUGUAUAGAGGAAUACAGAAGAUUGUGUGGGAACACGUUUUCAUGGAUUGAAAUAUUUUAAUCUCCUAUUUCUCUAUUCAGCGGAGUUUGAAGUGCCUUGAAAUCAUGCAAUGGGAUGUACAGACUAUGCACAAUUAUAAUUACAUCAGUUGAAGAAAUAAUGAAGAACUUAAACAGUGUAACUAUUAAACAGUGACUGGUAUGGUAAAAUACAAGAUAUAUAUUUUAAAUAUCCUCAAAAUUCAAUGUCGGUUCACAAUUCUUCCAAUGCAAUAGACAGAAUUUUCAAAAAUA
rnacentral:misc_RNA from 1 species